CAGUAGCCGCGGGAAUACAGAGGGUGCGAGCGUUAAUCGGAUUUACUGGGCGUAAAGCGUGCGUAGGCGGCUUUUUAAGUCGGAUGUGAAAUCCCUGAGCUUAACUUAGGAAUUGCAUUCGAUACUGGUUAGCUAGAGUGUGGGAGAGGAUGGUAGAAUUCCAGGUGUAGCGGUGAAAUGCGUAGAGAUCUGGAGGAAUACCGAUGGCGAAGGCAGCCAUCUGGCCUAACACUGACGCUGAGGUACGAAAGCAUGGGGAGCAAACAGGAUUAGAUACCCCCGUAGUCCCUGUCUCUUAUAA
rnacentral:rRNA from 1 species